GCCAGCAGCCGCGGUAAUACCGGCGGCUCGAGUGGUGGCCACUUUAUUGGGCUUAAAGCGUUCGUAGCUGGGUUAUUAAGUCCCUUGGGAAAUCCGACAGCUUAACUGUCGGGCGUCUAAGAGAUACUGGUAAUCUUGGAACCGGGAGAGGUGAGGGGUACUUCGGGGGUAGGAGUGAAAUCCUGUAAUCCUCGAGGGACCACCUGUGGCGAAGGCGCCUCACCAGAACGGCUUCGACAGUGAGGGACGAAAGCUGGGGAGCAAACCGGAUUAGAUACCCGGGUAGUCCCAGCCGUAAACGAUGUGCGUUAGGUGUAUCGGUGACCACGAGUCACCGAGGUGCCGAAGGGAAACCGUGAAACGUACCGCCUGGGAAGUACGGUCGCAAGGCUGAAACUUAAAGGAAUUGGCGGGGGAGCACCACAACAGGUGGAGCCUGCGGUUUUAAAUUGGACUCAACGCCGGAAAUCUCACCGGAUAAGACAGCAGAAUGAUUGCCGGGCUGAAGACUCUGCAUGACUAGCUGAGUAGAGGUGCAUGG
rnacentral:rRNA from 1 species